rnacentral:rRNA from 1 species
CCUACGGGAGGCAGCAGUAGGGAAUAUUGCUCAAUGGGGGAAACCCUGACGCAGCAACGCCGCGUGGUGGAUGAAGGUCUUCGGAGUGUAAACUCCUGUUGGUAGAGAAGAUAAUUACGGUAUCUAACGAAUAAGCACCGGCUAACUCCGUUCCAGCAGCCGCGGUAAUACGGAGGGUGCAAGCGUUAGUCGGAAUCACUGGGCGUAAAGAGGGCGUAGGCGGGAUAGCAAGUCAGGUGUUAAAUCCUAUAGCUUAACCAUAGAACUGCAUUUGAAACUGUUAUUCUAGAGUAGGGGAGAGGUAGGUGGAAUUCCUGGUGUAGGGGUAAAAUCCGUAGAGAUCAAGAGGAAUACUCAUUGCGAAGGCGACCUGCUAGAACAUAACUGACGCUGAUGCGCGAAAGCGUGGGGAGCAAACAGGAUUAGAUACCCGAGUAGUC